ACUGCCCCAUAGGCCACCUCACUUGGUGCUGUCACAGUGAUUAAUAAGGAUAUUCUGUGUUCACAUGAGGCCUCUCAGUCAAGGCCUCGGAGCACUUUGCAAGGACUAAUUAGCUUCAUGAUGGUGACUCAGAGCUUCCAGAAGGAACACCAGCCAGCCUGCUGACGCUUUGAUGUAGCCCAAUGAAGCUGACUUUGGACUUCUGACCUCCGAAAAUCUGAGGGGCAAAGACAGCAGCAGUUCUACUGCUUGAACUAGCCUAAAGAAAUUGCAGAGAAGAACAUCAACUCAGGACUCUGAAGGUAGGCGGGGAACCCCCAGAUGGAAAGGUUUGUGGUAUUACCUAACAAUGCCCACACUCACUCUGAGCCCACCAUGGGGAAGUGUUAGUUGCCAAAUUGCACCGUGGCUUAACUUCCUCCCAGCAGAGGUCGCUGUCGAUACUGACAAUGGAUACUUGUGAGGACCGGACCAGGCAGGCUGGGCUGGAUGGAUGGUAGCUCCACUGUCUGGUACCUGCUCUUUUUGUUGUUCUGCUAGCCACAAUCUAACCCCUCAUUCAAUGGGAAGGAGAGCUCUGUGGAGAUUAUCUCGAAUCCACACAGUACCUUUGCUAUAAAAGUGCUGUGAAAUUGGAGUCACUUGCUGGGGGUGGACAGCUCUGGGAGGGCUGUGCUCAUCCUCUAGUGGCAUUACCCUGUAGUGAUAUCUCGGUUACCCUCAUGUCCUCUCUCUGAGUGUACUAGUAUUUCUGAGACACCAUCUGCGACUGACCAGCAACCUUAGCCCCAUGGCCCUUCCAGACAUGGAGGCCAAAGUGACAAAAGUUGCCUUGCCACACAAUCUUCAACUCACAUCAUAAAUGAUUCUGUCCACGAUCCCCCCAAAACCUCACUUGGCAGCUGGUGGGGGAGGGGGCAGAAUUCUGGUCCUCAGGGCACCCCAGUGUAUCAGGACAUAGUUUCUGAGGGCAGGGCAGGGGACUGGAGAGUCUCUUAGGGUCAGACCUGAGGAAGGGCUGAAGAAAGCUCCACAUACUUGUGAAUACCCAGGUAUGCAGGAUAAAUGCAAGGCAGCCUGAAGCUGCCUCCGCCCUGAGGACAUCACUCCGACCCUAGGGCAUUACUGUGGCUUGAGAGUCUAAGGGGUGACUACACUGAUCCUCCCAACAUCAAAGCCCAGCAAUAAAUGGUUGCUAUCUCCACAUACACACACACACACACAGCCAUGACACACACGAACACUGGAGCACAUGCAUUCACACCCACACUCUGACCUGCACCAUCACCUGUGCAAACCCUCACACACUUAAACACAUCCCUGUCCCAGAACCAAAUUUGACCUAGUAUGGCUGAUGGGGUGUGGGAAGGUCCAGUCAGGAUGCCCCUCCAGUCCCUGGCCCACUCAUGUCCCUUGAGCUCCAGUCCCUCCGCACAAGGUGGAGUCCCCGCCUGUGCCCUGUCCUCGUGGCCACAGGUCCUGAAUCCCCCCCAGAAGGGGCCCUGGUCGUCAUGGGGCACACGGAACCCCGGGUACUGGGUUAGCCUUAGUGUAGAGGGUUCAGGAAAAGAGAAGGGUGUGGGGCAUAGUGCCCUGCUCCGGCUCCGCUGCCGCUUCCCCGGGAUUUUCCAUCCCAGCUUGCGCUGGCCGGUGAGGAGCAAGAGCGCUUUGUCUCCCGCCCUGCUCCUGGCACGUUUCCGUGGA